GUGAACGCUGGCGGUAGGCCUAACACAUGCAAGUCGAACGGCAGCACAGUAAGAGCUUGCUCUUACGGGUGGCGAGUGGCGGACGGGUGAGGAAUACAUCGGAAUCUACUUUUUCGUGGGGGAUAACGUAGGGAAACUUACGCUAAUACCGCAUACGACCUACGGGUGAAAGCAGGGGAUCUUCGGACCUUGCGCGAUUGAAUGAGCCGAUGUCGGAUUAGCUAGUUGGCGGGGUAAAGGCCCACCAAGGCGACGAUCCGUAGCUGGUCUGAGAGGAUGAUCAGCCACACUGGAACUGAGACACGGCCCAGACUCCUACGGGAGGCAGCAGUGGGGAAUAUUGGACAAUGGGCGCAACCCUGAUCCAGCCAUACCGCGUGGGUGAAGAAGGCCUUCGGGUUGUAAAGCCCUUUUGUUGGGAAAGAAAAGCAGCAGGUUAAUACCCCGCUGUUCUGACGGUACCCAAAGAAUAAGCACCGGCUACUUCGUG
rnacentral:rRNA from 1 species